UGGGGAAUCUUGCGCAAUGGGCGAAAGCCUGACGCAGCAACGCCGUGUGAGCGAUGAAGGCCCUCGGGUCGUAAAGCUCUGUCGGUAGGGAAGAUGGGAGAUUUGGUUAAUACCCAAGUUUUUUGACGGUACCUGCAAAGGAAGCACCGGCUAACUCUGUGCCAGCAGCCGCGGUAAUACAGAGGGUGCAAGCGUUGUUCGGAAUUAUUGGGCGUAAAGGGCGCGUAGGCGGUUUGCUAUGUCUGACGUGAAAGCCCGGGGCUCAACCCCGGAAGUGCAUCGGAAACUGGCAAACUUGAGUCCCGGAGAGGGUGGUGGAAUUCCUGGUGUAGAGGUGAAAUUCGUAGAUAUCAGGAGGAACAUCGGUGGCGAAGGCGACCACCUGGACGGUGACUGACGCUGAGGCGCGAAAGCGUGGGUAGCGAACAGG
rnacentral:rRNA from 1 species